UCAAAAUAUAAUGUAUGUAGUAUCAAUAAUAGUCCACAGAGUACUAACGUUUAUUCGAUAAAACUUUUUCUAUAAAACUUUUUACAGGAUUAUCAAAUCUGUGGUAGUAGAGCCUUUCUUGUAACUGAUAUCUUGUAGUUUUUGUUAAACUAUCUAUCGAGUCGUAAUGAUGGGGCAUCUAUUAUAAACCUUGAAUGUAGCCCAAAUUUUACAUAAAUAAAAACUACUAAGAUUCAUUUAGUAUACUUUUACCGGGACUUGAUGAUGCCGUGCAAAUUAUAGACAGCGAAACCGGUCGUCGGAGUAACACCAUAAAUGCAGGGCCCCCGUAAGGGUUAGUGGCGCCCGUGUGCAAAAAAGGAUUUUGGCACCCCUUAAGACAUUUUGGAUCAUGUUUUUUAUGUAUUUUUUUGAAGAUAGGAUAAAGAUGUCAUGCAGUUGUGUUAAUAAUACCUACAACACAGAAUGGUCGCAUUCAUCCCACCAUAUAAAUAAGAGAAAAGAUCUUAAACCUUCUUUAUUCAACAACUAUACUAAAUAAUAAUUGUUUUAAAUUUGAUGUCUACAGAAAACCGACUCAUACGGGUACUGUUAAAAUGUUAUACAUUAACAGUUCUUUUCACUGUACAACAUAAAUCAGCAGCUUACCAUAGCUAUAUUCAUCGAUGAGUACAAGUAGAUGAGUCCUUAAAACUGAGUGCAUUUUAAAAAUCCCUUCCACCUGAGUUCUUUAGAGGAGAUGAAGACCUAAGAUGGUCACAGAUGGUAGCCGAAGAUCCCCGUAUAACUGAUAUUGCCUCAAGAAUUGGCAAUGGAUGCCAUAUAAUAAUUGCUGUCUGAGGAUGCACCGUCUACUUCGGGAGUUAUAGAAUAGAACCACCUCCACUAAGCAGCGAAGUGCAAACAAAAAAGAAUAUUCAGAAUUAACUAGUUUUGAU
rnacentral:lncRNA from 1 species